rnacentral:rRNA from 1 species
AACGAACGCUGGCGGCAGGCCUAACACAUGCAAGUCGAGCGCUCACCUUCGGGUGGGAACGGCGCACGGGUGAGUAACACGUGGGAACCUACCUUGAAGUACGGAAUAACUGAGGGAAACUUCAGCUAAUACCGUAUACGCCCUACGGGGGAAAGAUUCAUCGCUUCAAGACGGGCCCGCGUUGGAUUAGCUAGUUGGUGAGGUAAUGGCUCACCAAGGCUACGAUCCAUAGCUGAUUUGAGAGAAUGAUCAGCCACACUGGGACUGAGACACGGCCCAGACUCCUACGGGAGGCAGCAGUGGGGAAUAUUGGACAAUGGGCGCAAGCCUGAUCCAGCCAUGCCGCGUGAGUGAUGAAGGCCUUCGGGUUGUAAAGCUCUUUCAGAUGGGACGAUGAUGACGGUACCAUCAGAAGAAGCCCCGGCUAACUUCGUGCCAGCCGCCGCCGUAAAAC